GAUGAAGAACGUAGCGAAAUGCGAUAAGUAAUGUGAAUUGCAGAAUUCAGUGAAUCAUCGAAUCUUUGAACGCACAUUGCGCCCCCCAGUAUUCUGGCGGGCAUGCCUGUUCGAGCGUCAUUUCAACCAUCAAGCCCUGCUUGUGUUGGGGUCCUGUGGCUGCCCGCAGGCCCUGAAAACCAGUGGCGGGCUCGCUAGUCACACCGAGCGCAGUAGCACAUCUCGCUCAGGGCGUGCGGCGGGCUCCAGCCGUUAAAGCACCCACCUUUCGCAAGGUUGACCUCGGAUCAGGUAGGAAUACCCGCUGAACUUAAGCAUAUCAAUAAGCGGAGGA
rnacentral:misc_RNA from 1 species